UACGAAGGGGGCUAGCGUUGCUCGGAAUUACUGGGCGUAAAGGGAGCGUAGGCGGAUAGUUUAGUCAGAGGUGAAAGCCCAGGGCUCAACCCUGGAAUUGCCUUUGAUACUGGCUAUCUUGAGUGUGGGAGAGGUUAGCGGAACUCCGAGUGUAGAGGUGAAAUUCGUAGAUAUUCGGAAGAACACCAGUGGCGAAGGCGGCUAACUGGCCCAUACUGACGCUGAGGCUCGAAAGCGUGGGGAGCAAACAGG
rnacentral:rRNA from 1 species